rnacentral:rRNA from 1 species
AGAGUUUGAUCCUGGCUCAGGAUGAACGCUGGCGGCGUGCCUAACACAUGCAAGUCGAACGAAGCUUGACGGAUGAUUUCUUCGGAAUGAAACCAGAUAUGACUUAGUGGCGGACGGGUGAGUAACACGUGAGCAACCUGCCUUUCAGAGGGGGAUAACGGCUGGAAACGGUCGCUAAUACCGCAUGAUGUGUUCGGAUGGCAUCAUCUGAACAUCAAAGAUUUAUCGCUGAAAGAUGGGCUCGCGUCUGAUUAGAUAGUUGGUGGGGUAACGGCCUACCAAGUCGACGAUCAGUAGCCGGACUGAGAGGUUGAACGGCCACAUUGGGACUGAGAUACGGCCCAGACUCCUACGGGAGGCAGCAGUGGGGAAUAUUGCACAAUGGGGGAAACCCUGAUGCAGCAACGCCGCGUGAAGGAUGACGGUUUUCGGAUUGUAAACUUCUUUUCUUAGUGACGAAGACAGUGACGGUAGCUAAGGAAUAAGCAUCGGCUAACUACGUGCCAGCAGCCGCGGUAAUACGUAGGAUGCAAGCGUUAUCCGGAUUUACUGGGUGUAAAGGGAGCGCAGGCGGGACUGCAAGUUGGAUGUGAAAUACCGUGGCUUAACCACGGAACUGCAUCCAAAACUGUAGUUCUUGAGUGAAGUAGAGGCAAGCGGAAUUCCGAGUGUAGCGGUGAAAUGCGUAGAUAUUCGGAGGAACACCAGUGGCGAAGGCGGCUUGCUGGGCUUUAACUGACGCUGAGGCUCGAAAGUGUGGGGAGCAAACAGGAUUAGAUACCCUGGUAGUCCACACUGUAAACGAUGAUAGCUAGGUGUGGGGGGUCUGACCCCUUCCGUGCCGGAGUUAACGCAAUAAGCUAUCCACCUGGGGAGUACGACCGCAAGGUUGAAACUCAAAGGAAUUGACGGGGGCCCGCACAAGCAGUGGAUUAUGUGGUUUAAUUCGAAGCAACGCGAAGAACCUUACCAGGUCUUGACAUCCGACUAACGAGAUAGAGAUAUGUCAGGUGCCCUUCGGGGAAAGUCGAGACAGGUGGUGCAUGGUUGUCGUCAGCUCGUGUCGUGAGAUGUUGGGUUAA